rnacentral:rRNA from 1 species
AGGCACUACGGUGCUGAAGCGACAAAUGCCCUGCUUCCAGGAAAAGCCUCUAAGCAUCAGGUAACAUCAAAUCGUACCCCAAACCGACACAGGUGGUCAGGUAGAGAAUACCAAGGCGCUUGAGAGAACUCGGGUGAAGGAACUAGGCAAAAUGGUGCCGUAACUUCGGGAGAAGGCACGCUGAUAUGUAGGUGAAGCGACUUGCUCGUGGAGCUGAAAUCAGUCGAAGAUACCAGCUGGCUGCAACUGUUUAUUAAAAACACAGCACUGUGCAAACACGAAAGUGGACGUAUACGGUGUGACGCCUGCCCGGUGCCGGAAG